rnacentral:misc_RNA from 1 species
GGGUAACUUCGGGAAAAGGAUUGG